rnacentral:rRNA from 1 species
UACAGAGGUCCCAAGCGUUGUUCGGAUUCACUGGGCGUAAAGAGCGUGUAGGCGGCUUGGUAGGUCUUGCGUCAAAACCUGAGGCUCAACCUCAGUUCGCGUGGGAAACCAUCUAGCUAGAGUCCGGAAGAGGAGAACGGAAUUCCCAGUGUAGCGGUGAAAUGCGCAGAUAUUGGGAAGAACACCAGUGGCGAAGGCGGUUCUCUGGGACGGUACUGACGCUGAGACGCGAAAGCGUGGGGAGCGAACAGG